UACGGAGGGUGCAAGCGUUAUCCGGAUUCACUGGGUUUAAAGGGUGCGUAGGAGGGCAGGUAAGUCAGUGGUGAAAUCUUCGAGCUUAACUCGGAACUGCCGUUGAUACUAUCUGUCUUGAAUAUUGUGGAGGUAAGCGGAAUAUGUCAUGUAGCGGUGAAAUGCUUAGAUAUGACAUAGAACACCGAUUGCGAAGGCAGCUUGCUACACAUAUAUUGACUCUGAGGCACGAAAGCGUGGGGAUCAAACAGG
rnacentral:rRNA from 1 species